AGUAACAGAGGGAUUGAGGGCCUGCUCAGUGAGUUUACAUGUUAGAGGGAGUGGGGUAUAGUGAUAGUAACAGAGGGAUUGAGGGCCCUGCUCAGUGAGUUUACAUGUUAGAGGGAGUGGGGUAUAGUGACACGGUAACAGAGGGAUUGAGGGCCUGCUCAGUGAGUUUACAUGUUAGAGGGAGUGGGGUAUAGUGACACAGUAAC